CACCAGCACCAGCACCAGCACCAGCACCAUCACCAGCUACUCCUCCAGCCCCAGUACCAGCUCCUCCACCACUGGCCCCAACACCAGAAUUAGUGCCUUCACCUGCACCACCUCCUCCACACAAGCACAAGAAGAAAAGAAGGCACAGGCACAAGAAGCAUCAUCAUCCACCUGCAUCAGCACCAUCACCAACUCCCCCCAGCCCACCAGCCCCACCUGCACCA
rnacentral:misc_RNA from 1 species